GCCUAAAGCGUCCGUAGCCGGCUUUGUAAGUUUUCGGUUAAAUCUAUAUGCUCAACAUAUAGGCCGCCGGGAAUACUGCAAAGCUAGGGAGUGGGAGAGGUAGACGGUACUCCGUAGGAAGGGGUAAAAUCCUUUGAUCUAUGGAUGACCACCUGUGGCGAAGGCGGUCUACCAGAACACGUUCGACGGUGAGGGAUGAAAGCUGGGGGAGCAAACCGGAUUAGAUACCCGGGUAGUCCCAGCUGUAAACUAUGCAAACUCAGUGAUGCAUUGGCUUGUGGCCAGUGCAGUGCCGCAGAGAAGUCGUUAAGUUUGCCGCCUGGGAAGUACGUACGCAAGUAUGAAACUUAAAGGAAUUGGCGGGGGAGCACCACAAGGGGUGAAGCCUGCGGUUCAAUUGGAGUCAACGCCAGAAAUCUUACCCGAAGAGACAGCAGGAUGAAGGUCAAGCUGAAGACUUUACCAGACAAGCUGAGAAGUGGUGCAUGGCCGUCGCCAGCUCGUGCCGUGAGGUGUCCUGUUAAGUCAGGUAACGAGCGAGAUCCUUGCCUCUAGUUGCUACCAUUACUCUCUGGAGCAGUGGGGCGAAUUAGCGGGACCGCCGCAGUUAAUGCGGAGGAAGGAAAGGGCUACGGCAGGUCAGUAUGCCCCGAA
rnacentral:rRNA from 1 species